AUCCAGAUGACGAGUCCCAAGUGGGACGACACAGACGUCCAGGAU
rnacentral:hammerhead_ribozyme from 1 species